rnacentral:lncRNA from 1 species
GCAAAUUCAAAAUGCAGACAACCGGAAGUGCCAAAAGAAAAGCUUGAGGAGGUCAGUGUGUGUUAGCAUCGUGUCAAAUAAGAAAUGAAUAAAAACAAUCUCAUCCGAGGAAACUGACUCUUGGACAUGGUUUAUCGUGAUAAUAACUACCUAAAAUAUUAAACACGUUUGGAGAAACCAGCAAGAGCCUAUAUCCCCGCCCGCCCCUGACCAGGUACGGUAACUGUUAACGUUACUGUCGUUCAAAAUGUCCAACGAAUCGCAUCGGCAGAGCCGUCCUGACGGCUAUUCAAAUUGUUUCAACAAUGACAGCAACUGCCUCGUGGCCACCACAGGCCACCUCGGUAAGUAUGUUUUCCAAAUCACAUAGCAUUGGAUUCUUGUCAAGGCUAACUUAACUAAACUAGCUAACGGUAGCCAGUAGAAAUUUGCUACUAGCACUAAAUGCACUUUAUGUGUAGCACAUUUGUUUCUAUAAAACAUAAAACUCACACCGGUUAACGUAAGUGAUGCAGUAGGAUUAACUCAUGAGAAAAUGUUAGUUUAAGAUUAUGUGAAGAUUUUCUGAGCUGCAAAGCAUGAUAAAUUAUAUAGUUUAGCGUUACUGCUAACGGAGGCUACUUGUCACCCCUCAGGCCCACAAAUGACACUGUAAAUUGUUGUUAAAAUGGAAAUCUGCCUCUGUCCUCAGUCAGACAUCUCUCCUUGGCUAAACUAAAGUUACCUGCUGGCCAUUACUCACAAGACAAAACCGUUCUCUGCUUGGUUGUUAGAGAGAGAAAUGCUAAUGGAGAACAGAGGCACUCACAAUGAUAAAAACAUUUAAUUUAAUGUGAAUAAGGUACCAGAGUCAGAGUACAUACUGUAAAAAAGCAUAAAAUGUAUCUCUCUUUGUUUCCUUUGCCAGUCUCAACCCUGCUUUGACUGCUGGGCAUAUAAGCAUUAAACAUAUAGUUGCUAAUAUUUUGCUAAUGUCUAUUCAGGCUCCCACCACUUACAAUUACACACCGGGGCCAGCCACACCCACCACCUCCACUGGGACAUCAUACCGCUCGGUUCCCUUUCCAUUAGUUCAUCAAAGGACUGCUACACAGUCACGUUUUGGGAGAAAAAAACAAAGCCUGCAAACACGAUACAAGAGAUGUUGUAUGCUUGACUUUUUACGUCAGCAUCAACAUUCCGCAUUCCAAGGGGACCCUCAAGAGCAAAUUUAGCACGAGAUGGCCUUAUUGGGAAGAUCUCCUUUACAUCUGACUGGUCUG